CAUGAGAAAUAGAAAUAUGUACAUAUGUGUCAAAGUAAGCUGCCAAACAAAACGAUAAUUGGCAGAGUUUGGUGAAAUUUUUAGGUAAAGUACCCGCAAGGAAACGCAUAUUUGCAAUCAAAAGCAAAAAGCAAUCAGUGUGCCUAGUAUUGCUGGAAGAUUGGUGGCCAAAUGUAGUUUCUUCAGCUUCAAUGUGUACAUAUUUAAAGGCUUUUGGCAGGGUCACGUGAUGGCGAAAUUCGUGGCAUCUUUAUUUAAUGUAACCACAAACGCUGGAGACGUACAUAUAUAUGUGCAUGUUACGAACAACAUUUGCGGGUAUACAAAACAAGGGGCAGUGUCUACUGUGUAAACAAAAAGGGCACCAUCUGGCCAAGACAACAUUAUCGCGCUUGUCUACUGAAUUUUUCUGAUCACUUAGUCGACUUUUGUCUUAUUACCAAAAUUAGAGACUUUGCUAAAGCGCCAUAAGCUAAUGUACUACUUAUUCAAAUGUGUUAAGUACUCCAAAAAAUUUUAAAUCCUUUUAAAUAUAAGUUGCUUGUGCAUAUAAGUUGUAAAUGCCACUAAAUCAGAUUGUAAAUAAAAUUGCUUACUCGGCCUUGUAUAUUAAUUAUAGAACCGAAAUACAUUUUUGCAGCGGCCAUGCUCUUUGUUGUUAAUUGCACUUAUAUUGUGACAAUCGAGGGAGUCUGGGCAUUUGGAAGCAGAUUUCAUGCAUGCAACAAUUGAGCGUGCAAGAAAUUAAAAAAAAAAAUCACUAAAAGAGAAUGGGUCUUAUUGAUUUAGCACGAUUUUAUGAACAUGUCUGCAACCGAUUUAUGAGGCAAAAGCAAAGCGCAUGCUACAAACCGUGACUUCUCUUGGUG